rnacentral:rRNA from 1 species
GACGGAUGGGGCUAGCGUUGUUCGGAAUUACUGGGCGUAAAGGGCGCGUAGGCGGCCAAUUAAGUUAGACGUGAAAGCCCUAGGCUUAACCUAGGAAUUGCGUUUAAUACUGGUUGGCUAGAGUUCGGUAGAGGAAAGCGGAAUUCCUAGUGUAGAGGUGAAAUUCGUAGAUAUUAGGAAGAACACCAGAGGCGAAGGCGGCUUUCUGGCCCGAUACUGACGCUGAGGCGCGAAAGCGUGGGGAGCAAAC